rnacentral:misc_RNA from 1 species
CGCAAUUCCCCUCUCGGCCAGUCGCCGUGCUCUUUGGGCUAGAAUUUGGUGCUCCUAGUCUUCCCUUAUCUGUUUCUCAUCCUCACCUCAAACAAUCCAACACUGACGUUUGCGUUGUCCUGUCCUGUUUCUGUUCUGUUCCUGUUUGUAAUAAUUACAGUUAAAAUGUAAAAACUUUCCUAUGCGUACAUAAUGUUUUUUUCCCCCUUACUCCGACAACAACCGAAGAAACAUGCUUUCUCCGACGACACAUAAGGAGGCCUAACACGGCGUCGUCAUUACGUGAACCCCCCAGAAUGCAUUGAGUUUCGUGGAAUAUGAAGUUGUUCAAUCCUGUACCAUUGCCUGUAGAUCCGAAGAGUAGGAGAUCGAGUUUUUGUAGCUUUCUUCCUGCAGCUUCUUUUCUUUUUCUAGUUUUCUUCAUAGGAAGCGCAUUCAUAGUUCCAGAUUACAAAGAGAAAUUAUCAAGAUGGAGAAUAGUUGAUAGUUUCCAGAAUUUAAAAUUCGUCACUUGCAAGAAUCAAUGCAGGCCUCCUGGAAGCGAGGCAUUACCUGAAGGCAUUGUUUCGCGGACUUCCAAUUUGCAAAUGAGACCAUUAUGGGGCUUUCCAAAGAGCAAUGAAAAUUCUUCAAGUAACUUAUUUACACUGGCUGUUGGAAUAAAGCAAAGAGAUAUUGUUGAUGAGAUGGUCAAAAAGUUCCUAUCAAGUAAUUUUACUGUAAUGCUUUUCCACUAUGAUGGCGUUGUUGAUGAAUGGAAGGAUUACAAGUGGAAUGAUCAUGUUAUACAUGUUUCUGCCCACAAUCAAACUAAAUGGCAAGUUGCCUCGGUCCUCAAUCCUAUCAUCAUUUCUACUGCAAUAUGCAUUUUUGUAAAUGUAAUUUUACUGAGUUUGGUUUGUGGUGCUAGGUGGUUUGCAAAACGUUUCUUGCAUCCUGAUAUUGUUGCAGAGUACAAUUAUAUUUUUCUCUGGGACGAGGACCUUGGGGUUGAAAAUUUUGACCCUGAAAAGUAUGUUAAACUGCAAAACUUUUUGGGAUUAUAAGAAAGCACUUUUAGAUUAGAAGUUUAAAAUGGAAACAUUUCCACACCUACUUAGCAUAAUAUGUGGAGCAAUUUAGCUUACAUUAUAUUAUUAAUACUGCUUGCAUGUGAUAUUUUCAAUUAACAAUGCUAGGUAUGUAUCAAUUGUUAAAAGCAAGGGGCUUGAGAUAUCACAGCCCGCACUGGACACUAAUCAAUCAGAGAUACACCAGCAAAUUACUGCACGCAUGAGGAAAUCAAUAGUGCACAGGUUUUUAUGCAGCCUCUUUUGUCUCUAAUGAUGACUCUUUUAUCAGAAGAAAAUUUCACUGUUCCAAUUUAGUACACAGCUUUUUACAAUAUGUGGAGCAAUUUAGCUGUAUAAAAACACGAUGCUGGUUUGAUGGCACCUCCAAUUUCUUGAUUUGGAGCAAGCAGAUUCUAUGUUCUCUGAUUCAACUCAUUUUUGUUGCCCAUAUUAUGCUACACCAAUAUUCUCCUCUUGGGAAAAAUUUUGAGUUUUAAAAUUAGCCUCAUAAGCUUCUAAAUUGCCUCAACACUGUUGGUUACUUUGCCGUCCUUGUAUAUGGCUUCUUUUCAUUGUUAGCAGAAGAACUUUCAAGCCUGGAAUUUGUCAUGGCAAUAGUACUGCUCCUCCAUGCACAGGGUAAAAUUUGCAUAUAUUACAUAGCUUUGUAUAACACAGUACAAUUAUAUUUUAUUUUGCUUUAGAAGGUUUUUUAUUAUUUGUUUGGAACAAAAUUUCAGUUAUUUAUUUUCUUGAUGAAACUAUGCUGAAAAUCUCUGAUUGUAGGUGGGUAGAAAUGAUGGCCCCUGUUUUCUCAAGAGCUGCAUGGCGUUGUGUGUGGUAUAUGAUCCAGGCACGUUAUUGUACUGCACUAAUUAUUUUGUUCAUUUCACUUCUCCCUAUCUGCCUUUUCUUUUGGAUUUAUAGGAUGGAGUUGGAGAGGUGUGGCAACUGUAUCUCUUUUUCUUUUGUCCAUUUGGAUACGAAUUGUAUUAUGCAGCAAACACUUAACCACUAGGCUAUUAAUGGCAAUAAUUUACUGGUGUUAUAUUUUAUGGCCUAUGCCAUAUCUUGUUACCCUGUUGUCCAUCUUUCUGAUUGACAUUUUCUUUUCCAGAAUGACUUGAUCCAUGCUUGGGGUCUUGAUUAUCAGCUUGGUUAUUGUGCGCAGGGUGAUCGAAUAAAAAAUAUUGGUGUUGUGGAUGCUGAGUACAUAGUGCAUUAUGGUCAUCCUACACUUGGAGGAACAGAUGAAAAUAAGGUUAGAUCUCCAAAUUUGUCACGUAGAUUUUAUCAUUGCAAAUAGCCUCAGUUAAGUCAGCUCUUCAGCCAAUUUUGAGUACUUUAAGUUUUCUUCAAUGUAAACUUGUUCUUCAGUGUCUUACCUGAUUUAAUCUGUUACUGAAGCUGAGUAUUUGGCUAUCUGCAUUGCAGGAAUCAUCUUAUUCCCAUAAAAGCGAUCGUAGGCUUGAAGAUCCAUCUCAUUCCAAUAAAAAGGAUCCUAGACUUAAAGUAAGUAUCAUUUCAAAUUAUAUCUACUGAAGAUCUUUCGGUUUUUUAGCUUUUUUUUUUUUCAUGGCUAGUCGAAAUUUACGUCUCCUUUUUUUUCUUUCUUUUUCCUCACUUAUUUUAUCAUAAAUGAUUUUGUUUAAAGUUGCCAGCCUAACUGACCCUAGAGCAGCUUCAUUAGUAUAUUUGAUACAUUUAGCCCGCUAGUAGAUCUCUGAGUGCUUGGAUAGAGAACUUAGAUAUCCAAUCUGCAGGGAAACCACUAGAGGAAGAAUCUAUUGAGUAGGAAACUGUCAUGCUUUUGUGUAGCAAAAGGGUUCAUCAAGUAAGGGUUCAAGGUAAAUGCUCUCGUCUGCAGUCUGUUGAAAGAGGGAAAUACUAACAUAGCAUUUGUGACACACCUUAACCACAAAUUGCCGUGAAUGAGAGCAAUAAAGAGAAUGGUUGAAUUUCAGAGAUGUGAUGUCAAGAUGCUCUCCAGAGCUCUACUUAAUCGGGGGAAAAUACUCUGGAACAUGCAGCAAAAGGCUAAAUUACUAACAUGAUCAUCUUUUUCUUCCUAGACCAUCUCCUGUACUGAACAUAAACAUUAUGCAGGUAAGGAGGCAAUCCUUCGUUGAAUUCAAAAUAUUUCAAAAACGAUGGCAAAAAGCAGAAAAGGAGGACAAAUGUUGGAGAGAUCCAUACAAACAAGCAGAGAAACAAAGCUUGCCUAGCUUUCAUUUAACCCCUAGAGUUGUGUAAUUAUGUACUAUGCACAGUAUUGAUGUUCCGAACAACGGAUGAGAUGACGGUGUAAGAUUUUGUCCAGUAAUUAAUAUUACUAUAUGGAUCAAAAUCAAUUCUUUUAAUGUGACU